UACGGGGGGGGCAAGCGUUGUUCGGAAUUACUGGGCGUAAAGGGCGCGUAGGCGGCCUGCUAAGUCGAACGUGAAAUCCCUGGGCUCAACCCAGGAACUGCGUCCGAUACUGGUUGGCUUGAAUCCGGGAGAGGGACGUGGAAUUCCAGGUGUAGCGGUGAAAUGCGUAGAUAUCUGGAGGAACACCGGUGGCGAAGGCGACGUCCUGGACCGGCAUUGACGCUGAGGCGCGAAAGCCAGGGGAGCAAACGGG
rnacentral:rRNA from 1 species